UCGUUUUUUAGCUAUAUCAAAUGUCUGGAUCUUACGUUAGCAGAGGAACAAGCUGAUUUUAUAAUAAUAAUAAAAUAAUAAUAAUGAGUCGUAUACUUUAAGUAUAUUUAGAUGCAAAUAUUUUAGUACUUUUAGUGACAAAAAACUGAAUCCAGGACUUUUAACUUGUAACAGAGUAUCUCUACAGUGCGGUGUUAGUUCUUAGAUUUAAAUAAAAUCUUUCUGACUGCUGAAUGUUUACUUAAACUACACAUUGCUGACUUUGCCGUCUUGUAAUUGUGAGUUUAUUUGCUCUUGUAAAGUUUCCUUUUUCCUCUGGUGAUCAAUAAUAGUGUAUCUUAUUCUAUCUUAACAUCCACUCUAUGAUUAUAAUAAUAUUUGUAACUAAUUAAAUCACUCUACAUUCUGCAUAAGAAGUGGCUUUAGUUAAAAUAUUGUGUAAAAACUAAUUUAUUAUGAUUCUUAAGUUGCAGAACUCAACACACUAGAUAGACAUUAAUUUAUUUUAAGGUUUUCUUUUGACAAGUUCAGGAAGCCCCACAUAAGCAGGGCAUCAAAAAAUUAAGUUAGACUCUUAUUGAUCCUCUCCACGGAAAUCUUUAGUAAAAGGCGAAAGAUUUAUUCGAUCUGAAGAGAAACAAGAGCGAUCUGAUAAUCGAUAGUUCCUCUGAUCGACCUGAUUGGAGCCAACAGCGCUUUGUGUUGUGGUGUUCACUGUCAAAUGUUACUGAGACUAAAAUCUAAACCCACAUAAAGUGCAAAUAAACAACCCAAUAAAUAAAUCAAUCACUGAGGACUUUUAAUGAGACAAACGAACUUUUAUUCGCCUCUAGUUCGCCGAUCGCACGGUGGCGCAAAGCAUGAUGGGAUUACGUUCUUACGUCCCGGUUACGUAGAAUUUAUAUUUUAAAUCUGUUAUUUUGUUUGAAUUUAAAAUAAUUAAAUUAAUCUCUCAAUCAGAAGCACAACUGCACUGAUACAUUUAUUAAUUCAGACUGUUUGUAUUUAUACUUUUAGAUAAAUAAAUAAAUCUUACAUUAAAGUUUCAUAAAGCCCCGCCCCCUCACACACACACAGACUAUAAACUGACACUGGAAGAUAAAGUCUCAUUAUUAACUUGUUUAUUUAUUUUUCACAUAUCAGGAAGCCCCACAUUUAAGCAGGGCAUCUAAAAAUUGCGUUAUACUCUUAUUGAUCCUCUCCACGGAAAUCUUUAGUAAAAGGCGAAAGAUUUAUUCGAUCUGAAGAGAAAUCAGAGUGAUAUAGUGACACAGACACUGAGAGCCCGCUGCCUUUAACGGGAACAUGUACUUCAUCAACGGUGUAUUGUUGCUGCCACUAAAUAAAAACCCUGAACAAACUGUUGGGGACAAACACAGCAGUGCUGAUAAAUGGAAACUUUGCGCUGGUUAACUUUGAUACUUGAAACGAACCGUUGAUCCGUUUAUUAACGGCUUUUAACUGGUGGCGCAAAGCAUGCUGGGAGUGGAGGGCUGAACGACCGUUAAUUUCCGUUUGUUGUUAAUUUGUCUCUUUCCGGUUGUUUGUUUGUUUUUUAAAGUUUAUAAAUGUAAUAAAGUGCAACAGUUUGUAUAUACAGACUACAAUGUCACCGCCGACAGUUGUUCAUAUAGUUUGUAUUAAAGUUUGAGUGUGACAGCCGUUGACUGACCAAAGACUGCAGAUUGAAUGAACAACAACGACCUCCUGUGGUAACACAACACAAUAAACUGCUGCUAUCAAGGCCGGAUUAACCUCUAAAGGGCCCAGGGCAGAGAGGGCACAAGAACAAGAUCUGGUUAUAUCUCGUUUAUAUGUUGAACUGUCCGCCGGAGCCGUUGCGCUGCACAUAAUCUCUGCCCCUGGCUGCCUGUGACUGUGACGUGAGCUGAGACCCUCUCCUCAUUGGUCAGCCCGUAUGAGGCAGGUCAAAGGUGACGCCAAUCAACGUGCACUGAGCAGGUCGCGUGACGUCAAGCGCCGCUACGCAACACAACUCAAACAUGGAGAAUCUCAGUGGGAGCGCCAAACGGAAAUUAAAAAAGGAAACAUUUAAAAUAUAUACCGAAAGUAGGGAGUUUCUUCACGCUAGUAAACGUUAGCAACUGUUCUGCUAAGGCAGCAUCCGUCAACGAGGACCGCUCAGCUAGCCAGGACACUUCUUCACUGCCGGCGCUAGCUAAUGUUCACAGCCCCGAGAGCGAAGAGCCCCCCGGCGGCAUCUUCAACCGACGGCCCGGGUUCUGCUGCGAGUGCGACCGGUGAGGGAAGCGGUGAUGGGUCUCUAGUCUCACCGCCAGCUGAACCGCUCGUCGAGUCUGCGAGCAGCCCCUGUACGGGUGGGUUUCAGAGUCAGUGUCGGGGGGAGUCCCGGGUCUUGUUGAUGAGACCAGCUGCAGACGGGAAGAAGCUGUUCUUGUGGCUGGAGGUUUUGGUCCUGAUGGAUCGCAGCCUCCUACCAGAGGGAAGUGUUGUAAAGAGUCUGUGUGCAGGGAUGGAGGGGUCAGCCACAAAGGCACACAAUCCUGGCACAGGUUCCCGGGGAGUCCAGAUGCUGGAGGAUGAAGUGCAGAGCCAUGUUUACUGUAUCAUCCACAGACCUGUUGGCUCUGUAGGUGAACAUUUCAUCCUCAUGGUGGCGUUAGAUUAAAAGUCCUCAGGUGACUUCUUCUGUUUGUCCAAAAUCAUUCAUCUAAUAGUGGUUGAGAUAUUAAAUAUUUUACAUCGCUGUUAUUUUUGUGAAUUUAAAAUAAUUAUGUUAAUCUCUGUAAUGGAAAUUGUAAUACAUUAUGAUACAUUUUAUGUAAACACUUUAAUACACUCUAUAAUAACCUCACUCUCAUGAAUUAUAGUGCGUGCACUCUAUGUAACCUCAUGCUUAUGAACUAUUGUGCGAACAAAAAUGUCUAACUGUUUCAAGGGUGCCCUCAGCACCUGGUACUUCUCCCACACGAUGAAUGUCUCAAAUGUUUUACUGUCGCUAUGGGAGGAGAGGAUGAAUCCUCUAGAGACUGGCUCCAGACAUCUCCCUUUUGUUCAAGGUUAUGAUGUUCGUUAACAUAUCUAACUGUUAUCUACUAUGUACCACCUGAUUUGUUUCUUUUUCUUCAAUAAAUAAGGGUGCAGCUCUGAAAAGGGAGUCCUUUCAACAAGCUGAGGGGCUCACUCUGCGCAGAGUUACACCCGGGUGAAAAGACAAA